rnacentral:SRP_RNA from 1 species
CGGCGGGUAGGAUCGGGGAGCCAGCCCUGCCCCGUACCCUUAAUGGGCUACAAAGGGGGUCAGUAACCUUCUAGGUGGCCGGGGGAAGUGGGGCGUAAGGCGCGGAGCCCUCCAGCGAUGUCCUGCCCUGCGGGGCCGGCGGUUGCGACGUACGCCCUCGUAGGAUGGUGUGCGUGCAUUCGACGGGCGAACCUGGCCAGGCCCGGGAGGGAGCAACCUAAGUCUGAACGUUAGGCGCUCGCAGGAACUCGGGACGGAGGGGGGUGACGCGGACCUGCGCCCCACCAGCCCAGUUGCCCAGGGGAGCCGCCG